rnacentral:other from 1 species
AGUUUCCUAGAACAUUUGCCAGUCAUCAUUGUUCUUGAGCCGAUAUCUUCAUAUCCGGAGGCAUCUCGAUAGAUGUUGUUGUGCAUGUCCGCUAGUCGGAAAGCCUUAUGCAUCGCGGGGGCCACCACCUGAACCAAAGGGUUCAGGGCAAAUUUGAUAGCGGUGUUCCGGGGGCUUU